AACGAACGCUGGCGGCAUGCCUAACACAUGCAAGUCGAACGAGACCUUCGGGUCUAGUGGCGCACGGGUGCGUAACGCGUGGGAACCUGCCCUUAGGUUCGGAAUAACUCCCCGAAAGGGGUGCUAAUACCGGAUAAUGUCUUCGGACCAAAGAUUUAUCGCCUUUGGAUGGGCCCGCGUUGGAUUAGCUGGUUGUUAGGGUAAAAGCCUACCAAGGCGACGAUCCAUAGCUGGUCUGAGAGGAUGAUCAGCCACACUGGGACUGAGACACGGCCCAGACUCCUACGGGAGGCAGCAGUGGGGAAUAUUGGACAAUGGGCGAAAGCAUGAUCCAGCAAUGCCGCGUGAGUGAUGAAGGCCUUAGGGUUGUAAAGCUCUUUUAACCGGGAUGAUAAUGACAGUACCGGGAGAAUAAGCUCCGGCUAACUCCGUG
rnacentral:rRNA from 1 species